UUAAAUCUUCCACAAAUGAUAUUUACAAAACCUUUUAAUUCAAAUAAAAGAUUUCUACUGAACCAAAAAAAACAAAUCUAACAGAAAAAAUUACAAAUAAAUUUAUUUCUUCCAACAUAAUCAUACUUAAAAAGGAAAGAAGAUAACCAAUAAUCUAUACACAUAAAAAAAUGUUGGUCUCUCUCUAGAGUGAGACACGUCAUUAAGUAAAAUAAGGAGAGUUUGCCACGUGUUUUCUUUUCAUGGACCUCACGAAAAAUAUUUGGACUUUAGCUUUUUACUCAACAAAAAAUUGAACCUAAUACAAUGGUUUUGACUGGUGACCUUUUCAGGAAUACGGAGAACGAAUAGGAAAGGAACGUAUGAGAAUAAAAUUGCAGGAAUGAAAAAUAAUGCUUGUUCUUUAUCAAAUUUAACAAGAAAUACUUUUGUUCUAUAUUUCUCUAUAAAAAAAAAAUAGGAAUGAACAAGAAUGAAAAACUAUUCCUUGUGAAUGCUGAUUAUUUUUUGAAACAAUAAGGAAUUCAGUGUUCUCUUUCGUUCCUUGGUCACCAUCCAAAGCCAAAGAGAAAAGGAUUGUCUUCCCCAAAGUGUCGCAACGAAAAUCUAGGGUUCGUGUUCUGCUUAGAUCUGCGAGACCAGAUCGUUCUUCUUCCUUCUCUGACAACAACAAUGGAGUUUCGAGAUAUUGAGUGAGUCGAGUCGAUUCGAAGGAGCUCUGUGUGAAUCUUUGAGUAGCGUCAUUUUGGCUUCUGUUCUAUUCGUCUGUAAGUCUCGAGUCACUGAUCCCUCGCUAUUAUCAUACUUCUUAACUCCGGCAUCUUCCUCUACAAGGCGGUAUCUACACCUAUAUAAAGUCAUAUUAUCCCCAAGAUCUUAGGCAGAGCAGAGUGGCAAGAACCCUUCUCUCCUCCUUGCUGACUUGAAAACCGGGUGCUGUAGCACCACCAGUUCGUCUCCAUGAUCCCGACUUUUCUAUCCGCUUAGUCUGCAUUGCAGCUGUGUCGGCGAUCUCUUCCCAAUGCGCAGCUCAUAGUGACGUUGUGUCUCGAGGCGGCGAUCGAUGCUGCGGAGGAUCUGGUUCGGUUAAGGCAUGUGCUUCUUCCUAGGCUGGAAAGAGCUGAUGAAUCAGAAGAUGAACAGCCAAAAGAUUUGUCACCUGACUUUGUUGGUAUGAGCAAUUUGUCAAUGCCCUUGAUGAAUCAUCUAAUGAUACACUUCCAGAUCUAAAAGAGAAGACUUUGAAGGUUGAGACUAAAGAGCUAGGUGAAAUACUUGAUGUUGCCUCAAAGUCUAUGGAAGGCAUUGUGCAAAACAUUGGAAACUUUCUGCCUAAGUUGCAGACACAAGAGAUGGAGGCGUUUAUGUCCAAACUAGCUAGAGUGAGCAGCAAUGCAAAAGCAUCAGAAAAAGACUGUGGAUUUGGAUUGCUUAAGACUCAUUCAUCAGAUAUUUAAUAAUGCUAUCUUAGAAGUUAGCUUAUUCAGGAGAAGUAUGAACUCCAAUGGAGCAAACAUUUUGUUUGAUGAUCUCUACCCAGAAGGUUACCUUACCAUACUGUCAAACACUACAACAUACACACACACAAGCAUUGAAGCCGAAGUAUUAUUGCGGGAAAUAAUAAAAUUUCGACCAGUUACUUGCAUUUAGAACAAUAAGGCCUUGGUGUAAUGUGUAUAAAAAAUACCUUACCAUACGGUCAAGCACUGCAACAUACACACACAAGCAUUGAAGCUAAAGUAUUAUUGCGGGAAAUAAUAAAAUUUCGACCACUUGCAUUUAGAACAAUAAGGCCUUGGUGUAAUGUGUAUAAAAAAUAUGUUACUGGUAGUAUAUACUAGGGUUUUCACCGUCUAUGUCGCUUUGCUAACUCUACCUCGCUCCACCUCCUUCCUACUGAUAUUGUAAUGUUUCUGAAACACAUUGAAAUCUCCACAUAAACCUUAUCAUUUAAGGCCCCCAAACCUCCCACUAAAUCUAAUUUAAGUAUCCUUUAUCUCUUCUGUCUAAUCAACUAUUCUCCAUACAUGACUUUUGACAAUUUCUUUACGAAGGACCAAGAAAAACCAAAUUUGGGUAUUUUCUCAUUAUUAUAGAUUUUUUCUCUGUUCAGUUUCUCAAAUUGUAUUUUUGAUUAGAUGUUAGUGAGAACAGUUCUAACUACUACAUGCUUAGAUAAGCACUGGAAAUGGAGCAAGAAUAAAUGGAGGACUCCAGAGAUGCAUAAACCAUCUGGACGUUUUUUACGGGAUUUGAUUUUUCUAAGCUUUCAUCUUUUAAUGAUCUGUUGUGGAUCAUAUCUUUAGUUUUGGCGUGACAUGUGAAGAAGGAAAUAAUACUGAGCUACUCCAUGCUGAGUCUGGUGAUUUAGCUAAUGUAUCUUCCCAUCUCAGCUAUACAAGAAGACUACGUUAUUGACCCAAGGAAUGGGAAAGAAAUAUGUCCAGCCUCUUCAAAAGGGUAACCAUUAUAUAAUCCAUUAUUCUUACGUGACAUUUACAAUUACAGAUACUACUCAUCGAGCUUUUAAAUUUUUUUACUAAGAUCGUACUUUGCAAAAAAAGCCACUUUAACACUAAGGCUUCAGUUGAACCAAAGAAAAACAAUAAAAAUGCCCAAGAAAUUGUUGAACCUCAACUUUAAAUGAACAAUAACUAAAAUAUGCUAAUAAAUCUCUUGACCUUAGUGGCACUUCCUGGCGAAAACCAUAUCUCACUUUCUUCUGAAAAUAUCUAGCAUUCCUCUUCUUUAAAAACCUAACCAAGUACUAUGCCCAUUGCGGAUGGCUAUACCCAGAGCUGGAUCUGAGAUUGUAGAGAUCUUAAACAUUUUUAAGAACCUUAGUAACAAAAAUCACAAAUUAAGAAUCUACGCCUAUGUAGAAAACCUCUAAAAAAAUUUGGGGACCAAAGCUAAUGUUUUAUCCAGCUAUGUUUAGAUCCGGUCUUGGCUACAUAGUUUCCGGUACUCUACAAC